CUGCUUUUAGGAUUUCUAUAGACUCCAUUAGGAAUGCCUGCAAUUGCAUGGCUAAAGGCAUGCAAUUGCAGGCAUUAUCUUUGCAUUGCUCCAGUUUAUUUGGAUGUCCUUAGUGUAAGCUUCUAUUGCAAAAGCUGUGGUGAGGUUUCCUGCAGCUGUGUCUUCCUUGUGUUGUUCUACUCUUUGUUGCAAUGUCCUUGUAGCCACCCUAUGUACAUUGUGUUCUGCUGGGAUCUACUACUUUAGCAAAAAACAGAAAUAUUCAAAAUUCCAGCCAAUCACUCCUUUUUUCUUUCUCAUUUCUGAGUCUGUUAAAUAUUGUUGGUGUUCUGUAGUAAGUUGGC
rnacentral:lncRNA from 1 species